UUGAUCCUGGGCUCAGAGUGAACGCUAGCGGCGUGGUUAAGACAUGCAAGUCGAACGAUGAAGCCCAGCUUGCUGGGCGGAUUAGUGGCAUACGGGUGCGUAACACGUGAGCAACCUGCCUUGAAGUGGGGAAUAGCCCGGGGAAACCCGGAUUAAUACCGCAUGUGGUCUCUUUUCGCAUGAAAAGACGACUAAAGUUUGUAAUGACUCUUCAAGAGGGGCUCGCGGCCUAUCAGCUUGUUGGUGAGGUAAAGGCUCACCAAGGCAAAGACGGGUAGCUGGUCUGAGAGGAUGAUCAGCCACACUGGAACUGAGAUACGGUCCAGACACCUACGGGUGGCAGCAGUUUCGAAUCAUUCACAAUGGGGGAAACCCUGAUGGUGCAACGCCGCGUGGAGGAUGACGGCCUUCGGGUUGUAAACUCCUGUCACCAAGGAACAAACGGCAGGUUCAUAGCCUGUCCUGAGUUAACUUGGAGAGGAAGAGGUGGCUAACUCCGUGCCAGCAGCCGCGGUAAUACGGAGACCUCGAGCGUUACUCGGAUUCACUGGGCGUAAAGAGUAUGUAGGCGGUUUGGUAUGUCAGGUGUGAAAGCCCGAAGCUCAACUUCGGAAUUGCGCCUGAAACUACCGGACUUGAGGCCUGGAGAGGGGAGUGGAAUUCCUGGUGUAGCGGUGAAAUGCGUAGAUAUCAGGAGGAACACCAAUGGCGAAGGCAGCUCCCUGGACAGGUUCUGACGCUGAGAUACGAAAGCGUGGGUAGCGAAAGGGAUUAGAUACCCCUGUAGUCCACGCCGUAAACGUUGUACACUAGGUUUCGGAGGGCCUACCCCUUCGGAGCUCAAGCUAACGCGAUAAGUGUACCGCCUGAGGACUACGGCCGCAAAGGCUAAAACUCAAAGGAAUUGACGGGGGCCCGCACAAGCGGUGGAGCAUGUGGCUUAAUUCGAUGCAACGCGAAGAACCUUACCUAGGCUUGACCUGAACCGGACGAUUUUCGGAAACGGAUUCUCCCUUCGGGGCCGGUCACAGGUGCUGC
rnacentral:rRNA from 1 species